GUGAGGAAUAUUGGUCAAUGGGCGCAAGCCUGAACCAGCCAUGCCGCGUGCAGGAAGACGGUCCUAUGGAUUGUAAACUGCUUUUAUUUGGGAAUAAACUCCGGUACGUGUACCGGCCUGAAGGUCACAAAUGAAUAAGCACCGGCUAACUCCGUGCCAGCAGCCGCGGUAAUACGGAGGGUGCAAGCGUUAUCCGGAAUCAUUGGGUUUAAAGGGUCCGCAGGCGGUCUUAUAAGUCAGUGGUGAAAGCCUACAGCUCAACUGUAGAACUGCCAUUGAUACUGUAGAACUUGAAUUCGAUCGAAGUGGGCGGAAUGUGACAUGUAGCGGUGAAAUGCUUAGAUAUGUCACAGAACGCCGAUAGCGAAGGCAGCUCACUAGGUCUGGAUUGACGCUCAGGGACGAAAGCGUGGGGAGCAAACAGGAUUAGAUACCCGAGUAGUCC
rnacentral:rRNA from 1 species